UGUAGGUUCACUGCUUUAAUCUCUCUCAGUCUAUGGUCUGCAGUGCCGACUGCUCUGCUUGACUCACCAGAUCACUGAAGGUAACGUGGAUGUCAUGGGAAUUUUUUGGCAGAAUGGAGAUUUAUAUAUUCAGUCAGUCUCAAGUUUCAGAAGAUGAAAAAAAAACCUAAUUCUCAGAAUAAUUUGGCAAGUUUUUCUCUCUCAACUCAAAUAAUAAAGGGCAAGUUUCAUUUCCAGAUAAGUACUGAUGAACAAAACAGAAAGAAUCACAAUGAAUGAGGAAAUGUCAAAAUAUCCCAAGAGGCUACUAAGGUAUUAUUAUUAGAAUGCCUACUCUGAGCCCUGGUCAUCUAUAUUUUCACUUUUUAAUCGGUUAGCUUUUCUAUAGAUUGUUAGGUAAUUAUGUCUAAUGUGUGUCUAUGAGUGCUUAUUACAUCAAUAUUAAAGUAGAUUUGACACUUGUCCUCUUCUCCCCAUUAGUAUGCAAGCACCUUGAAGGUAGGAACUGUGUCUCCUAUUUUCCUUCAAAGUUACUGUGGACUUAAUUAAUUUAAGUCAUGAUUAUUAUUCACUAUGGAUUUCCCCAAAAUUUAAACAAGUGAAUAUUUUAAUUUACUUUAAAUAUUUAUCACUCAAAAUGAAUAAUUUAUCUCAUGAGCACAAAAUAGUACUGAAAGCAUAAUUUUUUUCUUUUAAAGUUAAGUUUAAGAAACUGUUCAGUGGAACUGCCCAUUUGAUAUAACAAAGAAAAAUGUAUUUUAAAGCAGAGGUCACUCCAUAAAGUUUUUAGAAAUGGUUAAAAAAAACAAACCUACCAAAUAUGUUACUACUUGAAUGAUGUGAAUGAACUGUGGUAAACGCCAGCAUGCAAUAUGGCAAAAACGAAUCAAUCAGUUCAGCUUAGUUCAGCCUCUGCAACUGGCCAUCUGGCACAAAAUCAACCGAAUGUAUCCCUGCAUAUUCAUCUUCAUUUCCACAAAUACUCAAGAGAAUGUCAUUCUAGGGCAAAAUAAAAUUAAAUCACCAUAAUUUUUAAGACAUCUUUCCUUUCAUACCCUCUUGAGAAUACAGUGUUUAUAUGGGAAUACUUAUUGCUAUAGGGUUGUUGUAUAAUUCUUACUUGAAUGUAUUCUCUUUUCUAAAGAUUGAAAAAAGUAUAUUUAAUUACCAGAG